rnacentral:rRNA from 1 species
UGGGGAAUCUUGCGCAAUGCGCGAAAGCGUGACGCAGCAACGCCGCGUGAGGGAAGAAGGCCUUCGGGUUGUAAACCUCUUUCAGUUGGGACGAAGCCUCAGCCGGUGAAUAGCCGGUCGGGGUGACGGUACCUUCAGAAGAAGCCCCGGCUAACUACGUGCCAGCAGCCGCGGUAAUACGUAGGGGGCAAGCGUUGUCCGGAAUCAUUGGGCGUAAAGAGCGUGUAGGCGGCUCGGUAAGUCCGCUCUGAAAGUCCGGGGCUCAACCCCGGAAGGCGGGUGGAUACUGCCGGGCUAGAGUCCGGAAGAGGCGAGUGGAAUUCCUGGUGUAGCGGUGAAAUGCGCAGAUAUCAGGAGGAACACCAAUUGCGAAGGCAGCUCGCUGGGACGGUACUGACGCUGAGACGCGAAAGCGUGGGGAGCGAACAG